AGUGAACGCUGGCGGUAGGCCUAACACAUGCAAGUCGAACGGCAGCACAGUAAGAGCUUGCUCUUACGGGUGGCGAGUGGCGGACGGGUGAGGAAUACAUCGGAAUCUACUUUUUCGUGGGGGAUAACGUAGGGAAACUUACGCUAAUACCGCAUACGACCUACGUGUGAAAGCAGGGGAUCUUCGGACCUUGCGCGAUUGUAUGAGCCGAUGUCGGAUUAGCUAGUGGGCGGGGGAAAGGCCCACCAAGGCGAAGAUCCGUAGCUGGUCAGAGAGGAUGAGCCGCCACUCGGAAUGUGAGACACGGCCCACACCCCAGGGGGGGGCAGGAGGGGGGAAUUUGGGAAAAGGGGCGAAGCCCUCAGCCAGCCACACCGCGUGGGUAAAAAGGGCUUUGGUGUUGAAAAGCCUUUUGUUGGGAAAGAAAAGCAGCAGGUUAAUACCCCGCUGUUCUGACGGUACCCAAAGAAUAAGCACCGGCUAACUUCGUG
rnacentral:rRNA from 1 species